rnacentral:lncRNA from 1 species
UUUUAAAGAAAAAGUGUUUCCGUGUGGAAAACGGUUUUGAAAAGAUUUUUAUUGGUUUUCAUGACUCUUAGUGCUUCAAAAUGAGUUUCCAUGUGAAAAAUAUUUUAAACUGAUAGAUGUGUAUUUAUGGAUAUUUGUAAUGAAAUAAAUGUAAAUAUGAAUAGUGAAUGUAUGUGUAUGCUCAUACGGUUGUGGUUGAAUAUUGUGCUUGUGUGACGCCGUGCAAAUACAGGGGAGAUUUUUUCCGUGUGAACAGUGGAUUUUCUAUAUUUGUGGCAGAUUUGACAUAUUCUGGGGUCAAAGUUUUCAAAAAAAAAAAAAUUUGGGCACUUCCGCAUUGGAUCUUGAAUCCAAAGAGACCCCGGGGCGUGACAUGUAUAGUCAAAUUUAGUUGAAAUAGUAGUAGUAGUAAUACUCUAUUCUUAUCUUAUGUUAUCUUAUAUCUUAUCUUCUUAUAUAUAGAGGGAAUGGUGAAGGGAAUGGUGGGGAGAAAUUGUGAGAAAUAGGUGUAAUUGGGAAAGAAUGAGAGAAGAGAAAUUGAGAGAUUAAUUCUAAUCAUUCAUCAAAAUUGACGGAUAGUUAGAAGUUUAGGAGCACAAAAAUUAUUGUACUUUUAAUAAAACAGCAGUCCUACUCUCUCUCUCUCUCUCUCUCUCUCUCUCUCUCUCUCUCUCUCUCUCUCUCUCUCUCUAUAUAUAUAUAUAUAUAUAUAUAUAUAUAUAUAAGGAUGCUAUUAUACUAUCAAUAGUACCAAGCACUUGGUGCUUUCGAGUUUUCGGUCGUUGGAUGAAAGGAUGCACGAUUAGGAUGAUAGUGGUCCCCUAGGAUUGAGUGAGUGUUUGGUUGAAUAGUAUAAUCUAACGGGUGAAAAUAAUCAAAGAGUAGAUCUAACGGCAGAAAACUCGAUAGUAUCGAGAGUUUGGUGCUAUCGUUACUAUAGUAGUCGGACUCUAUAGAGAGAGAGAGAGAGAGAGAGAGAGUCCGACUACUAUGCUCUUGAGUAUAGGCUCUUUUGUACUCAUAAGUUUUCGGCUGUUAGAUCUACCAUUUUGAUCAUUUUCACCCGUUAGAUCAUAUUAUUCAACCAACCACCAACUCAUCUCUAGAAGACCACUAUUAUUCUAACGGGGGACCACUAUCAUUUUAACCACACAUCCUUUUAUUCAACGGUUGAAAACUUAUGAGUAUAAAUGGAUCAUAUGAGUAUAGUAGCCCUAGUAUAUAUAUUGAUCUUCACUAGACUAUUGUUGACAUCUUUUUUA